UUAUAACUUCAAGAUAUAUAUUUUAAAGAUCCAAAUACCAGCUAUGAAGAACGUAUUUAUUUUAAUAGCCAUUGGAGUUGUGUUUGCUACCAUUUACAGUGGUGCUAUAGCUGAAGAUGACGACGAUCAAGGAGAGAAUGGAAUUGAGCUCGACAUUCUCGGUCAUACUAAUCAAAGGAGGAUGAUCGAAGGCGCCUCGUGGAAAAGAAAGAAGCGUGAUAUUUUAUUCCCGAACAAUGAAGAUGAUAUUGCUCUUUUCCGUUGACUGUUUAAACAGCAAAAUCAGAAAAAUGCAACAAGGACCCAUCGUUUGUCACAUAUACAGUAAUGCUAUUGUCAUUUCAAUUUGACGAAAAUUAGAAAUUUAUUAUAUAUAUAUAUAUAUAAA